rnacentral:tRNA from 1 species
CUGCGCUCUGAAAGGCACCACCUUGACAUGGUGGGGGUCGUUGGUUCGAGUCCAAUCGCGCCUACCA